GUAAUUGGAAUGAAUAAGCUUUAAACCAACUCUAUGAGGAACAAUUGGAGGGCAAGUCUGGUGCCAGCAGCCGCGGUAAUUCCAGCUCCAAUAGCGUAUAUUAAAGUUGUUGAAGUUAAAAAG
rnacentral:rRNA from 1 species